rnacentral:rRNA from 1 species
CGCCCCAUAGUCUGGGAUACCACUUGGAAACAGGUGCUAAUACCGGAUAAGAAAGCAGAUCGCAUGAUCAGCUUUUAAAAGGCGGCGUAAGCUGUCGCUAUGGGAUGGCCCCGCGGUGCAUUAGCUAGUUGGUAAGGUAAAGGCUUACCAAGGCGAUGAUGCAUAGCCGAGUUGAGAGACUGAUCGGCCACAUUGGGACUGAGACACGGCCCAAACUCCUACGGGAGGCAGCAGCU